rnacentral:rRNA from 1 species
AUUGAACGCUGGCGGCAUGCCUUACACAUGCAAGUCGAACGGCAGCACGGGUGCUUGCACCUGGUGGCGAGUGGCGCACGGGUGAGUAAUACAUCGGAACAUGUCCUGUAGUGGGGGAUAGCCCGGCGAAAGCCGGAUUAAUACCGCAUACGAUCUACGGAUGAAAGCGGGGGCCCUUCGGGCCUCGCGCUAUGGGGUUGGCCGAUGGCUGAUUAGCUAGUUGGUGGGGUAAAGGCCUACCAAGGCGACGAUCAGUAGCUGGUCUGAGAGGACGACCAGCCACACUGGGACUGAGACACGGCCCAGACUCCUACGGGAGGCAGCAGUGGGGAAUUUUGGACAAUGGGCGAAAGCCUGAUCCAGCAAUGCCGCGUGUGUGAAGAAGGCCUUCGGGUUGUAAAGCACUUUUGUCCGGAAAGAAAUCCUUGGCUCUAAUACAGUCGGGGGAUGACGGUACCGGAAGAAUAAGCACCGGCUAACUACGUG